rnacentral:piRNA from 1 species
UCAUCCAUGUCCCUACAAAGGCCAUCUGA